GAUCAGGGAAGCUUCCGGUCUUUCAGCUUUCGGCUAGGAGGAGGCUAAGGUGCAACUUUCUUCGGUCGUCCCGAAUCCGGGUUCAUCCGACACCAGCCACCUCCAGCAUGCCGCCCAAGUUCGACCCCAACGAGAUUAAAGUCGUGUACCUGAGGUGCACCGGUGGUGAAGUUGGCGCCACGUCUGCCCUGGCCCCCAAGAUCGGUCCCUUGGGUCUGUCUCCAAAAAAAGUGGGGGAUGACAUUGCCAAGGCAACUG